rnacentral:misc_RNA from 1 species
UUUCCGUAGGUGAACCUGCGGAAGGAUCAUUAUUGUAUAACCGAGGUGCGAGGGCUGUCGCUGACCCGAAAGGUCGUGCACGCCCGAGUACCCUCACACACAUCCAUCUCACCCCUAUGUGCACCACCGCGUGGGUCCCCCUUUGGCUUGUUCGGAGGGGGGCUUACGUUUUCACACAAACUUUGUAUGCAGUGUAGAAUGUAUUUUUUGUUUUUGCGAUCACGCAAUCAAUACAACUUUCAACAACGGAUCUCUUGGCUCUCGCAUCGAUGAAGAACGCAAC